GUGAGGAAUUUUCCGCAAUGGGCGAAAGCCUGACGGAGCAAUGCCGCGUGAAGGAUGAAGGCCUAUGGGUUGUAAACUUCUUUUCUUAGAGAAGAAUAUUGACGGUAUCUGAGGAAUAAGCAUCAGCUAACUCUGUGCCAGCAGCCGCGGUAAGACAGAGGAUGCAAGCGUUAUCCGGAAUGAUUGGGCGUAAAGCGUCUGUAGGUGGCUUCAAAAGUCUCCUGUCAAAGAUCAGGGCUUAACCCUGGGCCGGCAGGAGAAACUCUGAGGCUAGAGUUUGGUAGGGGCAGAGGGAAUUCCCGGUGGAGCGGUGAAAUGCGUAGAGAUCGGGAGGAACACCAAAGGCGAAAGCACUCUGCUGGGCCACAACUGACACUGAGAGACGAAAGCGAGGGGAGCAAAAGGGAUUAGAUACCCUGGUAGUCC
rnacentral:rRNA from 1 species